rnacentral:rRNA from 1 species
UACGAAGGGGGCUAGCGUUGCUCGGAAUCACUGGGCGUAAAGGGUGCGUAGGCGGGUUUUUAAGUCAGGGUGAAAUCCUGGAGCUCAACUCCAGAACUGCCUUUGAUACUGAAGAUCUUGAGUUCGGGAGAGGUGAGUGGAACUGCGAGUGUAGAGGUGAAAUUCGUAGAUAUUCGCAAGAACACCAGUGGCGAAGGCGGCUCACUGGCCCGAUACUGACGCUGAGGCACGAAAGUGUGGGGAGCAAACAGG